UGACACGGUGGUUUCAUUUUGCAAGC
rnacentral:piRNA from 1 species